ensembl:misc_RNA Metazoa_SRP Metazoan signal recognition particle RNA
ACUGAGUGUGGCAAAGUGUACCUAUAGUCCUAACUACUUGGGAGGCAGGAGGAUCGCUUGAGUCCAGGAGUUCUGGGCUGUAUUGUGUUAUGCCAAACAGGUAUCUGCGCUGAGUUCAGGAUCAAUAUGGUGACCUCCUGGGAGUGGGGACUGCCAGGUUGACUAAGGAGGUGUGAACUGGUCAAGUCGGAAAAGGAGCAAGUCAAAACUCUUGUGUUGAUUAGUAAUGAGAUCACAUCUGUGAAUAACCACUGCAGUCCAGCCUGGGAAACAUACGAAGACCUCAUCUCU